AAGUCGUAACAAGGUUUCUGUAGGUAACCUUGCGGAAGGAUCAUUAAAAAAAUGAGGUAUUUUUAUACCUCUUGUAUUUAAAACCCAACUCUAAAAAUAUAAAAUUUUUUUUUAAAAAAAAAAAACUUUCAACAAUGGAUCUCUUGGCUCUU
rnacentral:misc_RNA from 1 species